rnacentral:rRNA from 1 species
UGGGGAAUAUUGGACAAUGGGCGAAAGCCUGAUCCAGCCAUGCCGCGUGUGUGAAGAAGGUCUUCGGAUUGUAAAGCACUUUAAGUUGGGAGGAAGGGCAGUAAGCGAAUACCUUGCUGUUUUGACGUUACCGACAGAAUAAGCACCGGCUAACUCUGUGCCAGCAGCCGCGGUAAUACAGAGGGUGCAAGCGUUAAUCGGAAUUACUGGGCGUAAAGCGCGCGUAGGUGGUUCGUUAAGUUGAAUGUGAAAGCCCCGGGCUCAACCUGGGAACUGCAUCCAGAACUGGCGAGCUAGAGUAGGGCAGAGGGUGGUGGAAUUUCCUGUGUAGCGGUGAAAUGCGUAGAUAUAGGAAGGAACACCAGUGGCGAAGGCGACCACCUGGGCUCAUACUGACACUGAGGUGCGAAAGCGUGGGGAGCAAACAGG